GGAUGGAAAAUGAGCCCAACUCACUGGAGACUAAUCUGAUGAAGGCGAUUCUUCAAAUGAAGGUUUCUCUUCCAAGGUAUGUACAGAGUCCCAUCUCUCAAGUGAUUCUUGAUCUUAUCAAGUUAACAACUGACAUUAACC